rnacentral:rRNA from 1 species
AUUGAACGCUGGCGGCAGGCCUAACACAUGCAAGUCGAGCGGAUGAAGGGAGCUUGCUCCUGGAUUCAGCGGCGGACGGGUGAGUAAUGCCUAUGAAUCUGCCUGGUAGUGGGGGAUAACGUCCGGAAACGGGCGCUAAUACCGCAUACGUCCUGAGGGAGAAAGUGGGGGAUCUUCGGACCUCACGCUAUCAGAUGAGCCUAGGUCGGAUUAGCUAGUUGGUGGGGUAAAGGCCUACCAAGGCGACGAUCCGUAACUGGUCUGAGAGGAUGAUCAGUCACACUGGAACUGAGACACGGUCCAGACUCCUACGGGAGGCAGCAGUGGGGAAUAUUGGACAAUGGGCGAAAGCCUGAUCCAGCCAUGCCGCGUGUGUGAAGAAGGUCUUCGGAUUGUAAAGCACUUUACGUUGGGAGGAAGGGCAGUAAGUUAAUACCUUGCUGUUUUGACGUUACCAACAGAAUAAGCACCGGCUAACUUCGUG